UCUUAGAGUUGUUCUACUCGGGAGCU
rnacentral:sRNA from 1 species